UGAGUUGAUCGGAUGGUCGCUAGCUUUUAGCUAGAGGAAAGUCCGGACUUCAUAGAGUAAAGUGCCAGGUAACUCCUGGGAGGCGUGAGCCUACGGCAAGUGCAACAGAAAGUAUACCGCCAAGCAAUUGGUAAGGGUGAAAUGGUGAGGUAAGAG
rnacentral:RNase_P_RNA from 1 species